rnacentral:rRNA from 1 species
AUUGAACGCUGGCGGCAGGCCUAACACAUGCAAGUCGAGCGGAGCGGCGGACGGGUGAGUAAUGCCUAGGAAUCUGCCUGGUCGUGGGGGAUAACGUCCGGAAACGGGCGCUAAUACCGCAUACUAUCAGCUGAGCCUAGGUCGGAUUAGCUAGUUGGUGGGGUAAAGGCCUACCAAGGCGACGAUCCGUAACUUGUCUGAGAGGAUGAUCAGGCACACGGGAACGGAGACACGGGCCAGACGCCUACGGGAGGCAGCAGUGGGGAAUAGGACACAAUGGGCGGAAGCGUGAUGUAGCCAUGCCGCGUGGAGGAAGAAGGCUUUCGGGUUGUAAAGUACUUUCAGCGGGGAGGCGGUACCCGCAGAAGAAGCACCGGCUAACUCCGUGCCAGCAGCCGCGGUAAUUC